UGGGCCUGGUGACUGAAGACCAAUGCUGGCCUGAGACCUCCACCUCCCCCCAAGCCAUCGUAGCCACAGAGCCUAGGGUGAUCAUCUCGAUAAUGAAUUUCCACUGAGACAGAUUUCAGAUGACAGGCACCACCCAGGAAUCAGCUGCAGACUACAGACUGAUCCAGAUGGCUUGGAGCCCUGGACUUGCCGAAAGCUGACAUGGACCAAGCCAGCUGAUUCGGAUUGCUCCCUGUCUCUCCAGCUGGGUCAGCUCACCAGAUGCUUCUAAUGAAUGCUCCAUUUCCUGAAUCUGAGGACAACAUCUUAAUUUCAGCAUGAAGUAGUUAAAGAGAGUAGAGUAUGCUACCCUGUGUCCUCAACAGGCUGUGAUGUUAGGUCAAAAGGACCUGGCACAGGGGACAAAACGGCUGCCUAUCUUGCCCACUGGCAUACCAGGAAAGGUACUUGUUGAAACCAAAUAGACUCAGAUCUAUCAACAGGCUCCUCCUGGAUAGUAACUGAUGUCAGCCAAUGCAGGGCCUUUGACCUUUCUGUUUCUACUAAUUACUGUUGCCCCUGGCAUCAUUAAUGCCUUAACUUGAUGAUAAUUCUCAUCUGGGUACCAUUAAGCUGAUGGUUAUUAGAUCCCAGUGUAAACAGGUACCUGCCACAGAGUCGAGGAUUUGACUCAGGAUACAACCCAAGGGGGAUUGACUCAGCACCAUUUUCUGGGAAUCUCAGAAUACUCGAGACCAGAGUCCACCACCUUGGCCAGUAUUUAAUUAAAGCUUGCUUCAAGUUUGGCUCAAGAUAUUGUGGUAGUGGUCUUAUUAAUAAGCCAGUGGGAUUAUUAAUACAAGGUCACAGGGUGGACUUCAGGAUGAUAAAGUAAGAAGACACCUAUUUAAGCAGCUGCUAAUCCUUAAGUGCUAUAACCUGCAGUUCCCAGGAAAAAAAGGCCACACAACUGUGUUGAAGAUUCUAAACCAGCUAUGGGGUUUGAACUUUACAACUUGGGAGAGCUGGAAAGCUGUUGAUCCAGAAUCCAGAUUAUCUUGGGCUAUCUUAAUAACCCCCACUAGCCACUGAACACCCAUGUUCUACACCUGAACUAUUAACUCACAACCAACCUAAGGGCUAACACCGUCAUCACACAGUAUCUAAAACCUGCGGCAGAGAUGUCCCCACUCUGCUGUACCCUACCUACCAUGUGAUGGGUAAAUUACUUUAAUAAUCCAUGAGCUUCUUUUGUUUUGUGUCUAUUAAAAAAUUCACAUAAUUGUU
ensembl:antisense 4933431G14Rik RIKEN cDNA 4933431G14 gene